UUUCUAUGGAAGCUUGCUUCCACUGAGAAGAUAGUGGCGAACGGGUGGAGUAACACGUGGGUAACCCUGCCCAUAAGAGGGGGGAUAACAAUCCGGAAACGGGUGCUAAUACCGCAUAGUUUUCUUGAUCGCAUGAUUGAGAAAGGAAAGACGGCCUUUGUGCUGUCGCUUAUGGAUGGACCCGCGGCGUAUUAGUUAGUUGGUGAGGUAACGGCUCACCAAGACGAUGAUACGUAGCCGACCUGAGAGGGUGAUCGGCCACAUUGGGACUGAGACACGGCCCAAACUCCUACGGGAGGCAGCAGUAGGGAAUCUUCCGCAAUGGACGAAAGUCUGACGGAGCAACGCCGCGUGAGUGAAAGAAGGUUUUCGGAUCGUAAAACUCUGUUGUCAGAGAAGAACAAGUUGGAGAGUAACUGCUCCAGCCUUGACGGUAUCUGACCAGAAAGCCACGGCUAACUACGUGCCAGCCGCCGC
rnacentral:rRNA from 1 species